GCCAGCACUUCGGGUGGGAACUAUAAGGAGACUGCCGGUGAUAAACCGGAGGAAGGCGGGGACGACGUCAAGUCAUCAUGGCCCUUACGACCAGGGCUACACACGUGCUACAAUGGGAAGGACAAAGGGUCGCUAAGCCGCGAGGUGGUGCUAAUCUCAUAAACCUUUUCGUAGUCCGGAUCGGAGUCUGCAACUCGACUCCGUGAAGUCGGAAUCGCUAGUAAUCGUGGAUCAGAACGCCACGGUGAAUACGUUCCCGGGUCUUGUACACACCGCCCGUCAUACCAUGGGAGUGGGUUGCACCAGAAGUGGGUAGUCUAACUUAGGAGGACGCUCACCACGGUGUGAUUCAUGACUGGGGUAAAGUCGUAACAAGGUAAAGCCGAA
rnacentral:rRNA from 1 species